rnacentral:rRNA from 1 species
CAACGCCGCGUGGAGGAUGAAGUCCCUUGGGAUGUAAACUCCUUUCGACCGGGACGAUUAUGACGGUACCGGGAGAAGAAGCCCCGGCUAACUUCGUGC